CGGUAUUUUGACCGUGCGAAGGUAGCGCAAUCACUUGUCUUUUAAAUGAAGACCCGUAUGAAUGGCAUAACGAGGGCUUAACUGUCUCCUCUUUCAGGUCAAUGAAAUUGAUCUUUCCGUGCAGAAGCGGAGAUACAGACAUAAGACGAGAAGACCCUAUGGAGCUUCAGACACCAGAGCAGCCCACGUUAAGCACCCCGAAUAACGGACUAAACCGCAGUGGACCCUGCCCUAAUGUCUUUGGUUGGGGCGACCGCGGGGAAUUAAAAAACCCCCACGUGGAGCGGGAGCACUCCUCCUACAACUAAGAGCCACAGCUCUAGUCAACAGAACUUCUGACCAGCAAGAUCCGGCAAUGCCGAUCAACGGACCGAGUUACCCUAGGGAUAACAGCGCAAUCCUCUUUUAGAGCCCAUAUCGACAAGGGGGUUUACGACCUCGAUGUUGGAUCAGGACAUCCUAAU
rnacentral:rRNA from 1 species